CCCUUAGAUGUCCUGGGCCGCACGCGCGUUACACUGAUGCAUUCAACGAGCUUAUAACCUUGGCCGAGAGGCCUGGGCAAUCUUGUUAACGUGCAUCGUGAUAGGGAUAGAUUAUUGAAAUUAUUAAUCUUGAACGAGGAAUUCCUAGUAAACGCAGAUCAUCAAUCUGCAUUGAGUACGUCCCUGCCCUUUGUACACACCGCCCGUCGCACCUACCGAUUGGAUGGUCCGGUGAAGCCUCGGGAUUGUGGUUCUUGCCGCUUUAUUGUGGCGUGACCGCGAGAACUUGUCUAAACCUUAUCAUCUAGAGGAAGGUGAAGUCGUAACA
rnacentral:rRNA from 1 species